AGAGAAUCAAAGUGCUGAUGUUUUUUGAUUGAUUUUUAUUUUCAGAUGUCAAUACAAUAUGCCUUCCAACAUCCGAACCAAAACUAUCGACAUUGUUUUCAACUAGUUUUAGGUUUUCAUAUCAACGCACUGAUGAGGACGGCACAUAUGUGAAUGGAAUACAUCAUUACUCAAGUCUGCAACAUUUUAGCCUGUCUUAUGGUGAAGCUCCUUCCCCGGACCAGAUGUUUGCUAUUUUCCAAGGAGCGCCAUUGCAGUUAGAGAGCGAGAGUGGCCAAAUGGUUCUUAUCGGAAUGGAAACCCGAAAGCAGUUUCGUAGAAAUGAGACUUAUGACUAUGCCAUUAUAGUUACCCCCGUUGCUGACUGGAUACGACAAGUUGUGGGAAUAAAGUAGACAGAUAAAACUGUUUCGUAA